GCCGAGGAAGGAAAACGAAGGUGUCGGGAGUGGGGAAAACAAUAGGUUUGCGGUGAUCCCUUAUGCGCUCUCCCGGGAGGGGAGUAUCAGCACGUCAGAAAAUUUAUUUGUUUAUUUAUUUUGUAAUGAGCUUUUGGGGAAAAAAUGCUAUCUUCUUUCAUUCCUUCUGGAAUGAUCAUAAAGCUAAAAAAAAAAAUAGUGAUGUGCGUUUAAGGAAAAAAGCGUUUGAUUAACAUUUAACCAAUCCACUUAUAAAAACAACGAUUCACGAACCAGUUCAACUAAAUAUUUUCAAACAGUAGUUGAAGUCUAUACCUCUACUGCACGCAGGAAGAAUAUUUAAAUAUCUGAGCAUUAUUUAAAACAAUUCCCUUUUUUUCUUUUUUUCUCUUUUUUUUUUUUUUUUUUGCCAGUGCUGUUCAAGAGGCCUUGGAAUGUACUGUUCAGUCCCGCAUGGACAGCCAAAGUCUAGGGGCUUUCAGAGUAUUUCUGUUGGACAAGAGAUUGAUGAUAGAAUUCAAUAUUUCUUUGAUGUAAUAUUUACAGAAAAUGAACAAAGCCCAAUUUCCUCAAACAGGACAGGACUCCAACAGAACAGGGCUUUGUUUGAUUUCUCUUUUCAAAUUCUAUUUCUUUCCAGGUAGCAUUCUGUUUGAAGAGCUCUUCUUUUACUUCCUUUCCGAGAGUCUGAAAAGUCCUUUGAAAAGUACAUGUGCUAUGAAGGAAUCUUCUACAAACAGUGAUACAAGAAAAAGAGUGAUCCUUCUCCAGUCAAUACCGGUCAACACAAGCAGCUGUUCUACGUCUAACACGGCUUCACUCCAUCACUCUCCAGCUGCCACAUGAACGGCAACUUUGAGGCACCUUGUCAGUGAUGGUCUAAUGCCAAUAUCAGCACCUUUACUUAACAGUGCAAAACAGAACAAGAUUCACAGAAAACUAGGCAGUUAAAAUGAUCUACUCACUUUGGGACGGCAUGCAGAAGCAGUUAGACUGAGAUUUAGGGAGGGAUUCAUGUAAACACUGAAGUCAUCUCAACGCUACAGUCCUAAGCCAAAUUGAUUCUCUGCAUUCCCUCAGUGUGUGUCCAGGAAAGAGAUAGACACCAUCAGACGGUGAUAACCCCAUCCUAAAAGUGUCGGAGGUAGCAUGAUGAAUGGUUACCUAAGGUACCUAUCUCUUUUCACUGACUAUAGAAGAAGCACAGACUAGAUAUUUCAUAGGCUAAAAUUAGUUGAUAUUAAGGCUACCCAGCUGCUCCAGCCUCAGACAGCAUUUAUUUUCCUUUUACAUCAUGGGAGGUGCAGAUAGCAGGAUGCAGAGUGGGAAAAGGAUGAACAGAGCUCAGUGAAUGGGUCGUUAUUCAAUAUUUCUUUUAAGACUCAUCUUUCAGUGUGUGCCCUAUCCAUUAUUUACUGCACACCAUCUGAAUGCUACACUGAAUAGAGAAUUAGUCAUUUUCUCAUGGGCUUUUCCAUGGCGCUCGCAUUGUGGUACUCUCUUUCUUUGCAGAUACUAAUGAAUAUAUAUCUUCCCAACACCCUGGUGGUGUUAUUGUCCUCCUCUUACAUAUUGUGAGUGUAGACACUGAAAUGAAAUAAAAAUUGUCCGCUAAUUUUGUUUCCCUCA
rnacentral:lncRNA from 1 species